GGGAAUGUAGUUUCAGUUGGUAGAACGUUGCUUUUGCAAAGCAAUAGACAGCGGUUCAAGUCCGCUCAUUUCCA
rnacentral:tRNA from 1 species